UGAGGCCCAAUGCUGAUGUGCCUGAUGGA
rnacentral:piRNA from 1 species